rnacentral:rRNA from 1 species
AUUGAACGCUGGCGGCAGGCCUAACACAUGCAAGUCGAGCGGAUGAAGGGAGCUUGCUCCUGGAUUCAGCGGCGGACGGGUGAGUAAUUCCUAGGAAUCUGCCUGGUAGUGGGGGAUAACGUCCGGAAACGGGCGCUAAUACCGCAUACGUCCUGAGGGAGAAAGUGGGGGAUCUUCGGACAUCACGCUAUCAGAUGAGCCUAGGUCGGAUUAGCUAGUUGGUGGGGUAAAGGCCUACCAAGGCGACGAUCCGUAACUGGUCUGAGAGGAUGAUCAGUCACACUGGAACUGAGACACGGUCCAGACUCCUACGGGAGGCAGCAGUGGGGAAUAUUGGACAAUGGGCGAAAGCCUGAUCCAGCCAUGCCGCGUGUGUGAAGAAGGUCUUCGGAUUGUAAAGCACUUUAAGUUGGGAGGAAGGGCAGUAAGUUAAUACCUUGCUGUUUUGACGUUACCAAAAGAAUAAGCACCGGCUAACUUCGUG